GGCCUCGUAGCUCAGUUGGCUAGAGCAUCGGCUGUACUAAAUCCUUCCCCUUGCUUGCUUGGGUUCGAAUCCCACCGAGACCA
rnacentral:tRNA from 1 species